AACCUAGGUAUACUUGCUGAAAUCAUCAAUAAAGCUGACAUAAUACGACUGUUUUCCAACAGAUUCAGGCGCUCGCCCCCAAACAGCAGAGAAAAUUAGUUCAAGAGGAGCAGUGGACAUAUGAUGCGAACGAGAAUAUGAAAAAGAAGGGUGGCCUAAAUGACUAUGCCAUCUAGAUAUAGACGGCUUGCUCACACCAAGGACUUGUUUAUUGGAGUCUGCUUCAUGCGCCACUAGGGGAUAUAGGCCCCCUUGACAUCUAUCGUGAUGCAGUAUUUUCUUCGUGACCCGAUCCUUGAUAAGAAAGAAGUUUGGAUGAAACUCAAAAUAUGCAUCAUUAUCAAGGGCAAGUUUAUGAAUAGAAGCAAGAUUUUUGUGAGCACUAGGAACAUGCAGAAUAUUGUUUAGAUGCAGAUUCAUAUUAGGGGUACGUAAAAUUGUAUGACAAAUAUUACUAAUCCUCAUACCUGAGCCACUUUCAGUAUGGACUUGAUCAUUGCCGUCGU